rnacentral:rRNA from 1 species
GCAACCUGGCGGCGAGUGGCGAACGGGUGAGUAAUAUAUCGGAACGUACCCAAGAGUGGGGGAUAACGUAGCGAAAGUUACGCUAAUACCGCAUACGAUCUAAGGAUGAAAGUGGGGGAUCGCAAGACCUCAUGCUCCUGGAGCGGCCGAUAUCUGAUUAGCUAGUUGGUGAGGUAAAGGCUCACCAAGGCGACGAUCAGUAGCUGGUCUGAGAGGACGACCAGCCACACUGGAACUGAGACACGGUCCAGACUCCUACGGGAGGCAGCAGUGGGGAAUUUUGGACAAUGGGCGCAAGCCUGAUCCAGCAAUGCCGCGUGAGUGAAGAAGGCCUUCGGGUUGUAAAGCUCUUUUGUCAGGGAAGAAACGGUAGAGGCUAAUAUCCUUUGCUAAUGACGGUACCUGAAGAAUAAGCACCGGCUAACUACGUGCCAGCAGCCGCGGUAAUACGUAGGGUGCAAGCGUUAAUCGGAAUUACUGGGCGUAAAGCGUGCGCAGGCGGUUUUGUAAGUCUGUCGUGAAAGCCCCGGGCUCAACCUGGGAAUUGCGAUGGAGACUGCAAGGCUUGAAUCUGGCAGAGGGGGGUAGAAUUCCACGUGUAGCAGUGAAAUGCGUAGAGAUGUGGAGGAACACCGAUGGCGAAGGCAGCCCCCUGGGUCAAGAUUGACGCUCAUGCACGAAAGCGUGGGGAGCAAACAGGAUUAGAUACCCUGGUAGUCCACGCCCUAAACGAUGUCUACUAGUUGUCGGGUUUUAAUUAACUUGGUAAC